UGGGGGAUAUUGCACAAUGGGCGAAAGCCUGAUGCAGCGACGCCGCGUGGGGGAUGAAGGCCUUCGGGUUGUAAACUUCUUUUGCUCUGAACAAGGCGCACCAUGGGGUGUGUUGAGUGUAGGGGUUGAUUAGCGCCGGCUAACUACGUGCCAGCAGCCGCGGUAAUACGUAGGGCGCGAGCGUUGUCCGGAAUUAUUGGGCGUAAAGGGCUUGUAGGUGGCUGGUUGCGUCUGUCGUGAAAGCUCGUGGCUUAACUGUGGGUUUGCGGUGGGUACGGGCUGGCUUGAGUGCAGUAGGGGAGGCUGGAAUUCCUGGUGUAGCGGUGGAAUGCGCAGAUAUCAGGAGGAAUACCGGUGGCGAAGGCGGGUCUCUGGGCUGUUACUGACACUGAGGAGCGAAAGCAUGGGGAGCGAACAGG
rnacentral:rRNA from 1 species